GUUAGCGGGUGUUAGCGGGGUUCUUGUCCAGUGUUAAAGGAUGGGGGGGGCGGCAUCAUUGUGCUGUGAUUACAACCCUCAAACAUUUUCAGACAAGAAAAGCACGAGGACAAAUACAAGCUGCGCUAACAGCCUCAGAAUCAACACAGAACCGCGGCGUAUCCGUCUCAGGGCUUUAGUCCUCGUGUUGUGAUCGCUGUCAAUGACUGUGCAAGUGAAGAAAUGUCCUCCGUGUGAUGAAAUAUGCAUCAAGCGAGCGAGCGCGGUGUGAAUGUGGUGGCAAAAGUGACACUGUGCUCUGCCUCCAAAUAGGGCUAGGUUUUUUUUUUUUUUUUUUUUUUUUAAAAAGCGGAGCUCCAUCACAGACAGAAUUUUACUCUAUUCCACUGAUCUCGGCCAGCUAAAAUAUUUAAAACCAACAUGUGCAACUCGCUGCUGCCAAAGGAGAAGAGAGAGAGAGAAAAAAAACAGAAAAGCACACAAAAAACAAAAGCCAGACCGACUGGCUGUGGGCUGAAUCUCUUAAUCUGUAAUUCAUUUUGUUUGGAGGUGGAUUCUCUCUUUGCUUGAUGGUGUUUACGUGGCUAAAAAUGACAUCUCCUCUUAUCCCCGCGUGGCCUCUCGGUGUUUAAAUAGCUGUCUAUAUGUCAGCGGAGAUGUUUGAACUGGAUUGCCUGCCUCUCUGCGGAUCUCCUCCUCGAUCUGCUCCUCUGACCACUUUUUAUUCGGCUGCUUCGGGGAGCGCUGCUGCAGCUAUUUUUGGAGAGGUAGUGGGAGGCUGUGGUCACACCUUUGUACAGGAUGCAGUAAAUGUUAGACACACAGACUCAGCAUCAGAUUGACGACCACAGAGGAGGUAAAUAACCAGAGAAAAGGUGGAUGGAGGUGGAGCGUAAAUCAGUCGGACUCAUUCGGACUGGAGGCUCAUUGAGACGAGGAUGGAUGUUCGUCACCUUCACCUACUUGCUUCAUCAACGUCACCAAGUGCCGGCAAAUGAGUGCCAUUAGCUUUGAGUGGUGGCUUUACACAGUGUGCUGCUCCGAGCGGUGGUGCUCGGCCAAUCAGGCCUGGCAGUCGGCCAAUCAGCUCCGUCACGGGCUGAACGUGAAGCUCGGAUGAGUGUUCAAAUUAUGAUACAAUAGUAGUUUAAGACUGUAUAAUGAUACUGGGUUGCUGUGGGGCUGCACAAAUACUCAAAAUAUGAUCUGAAUCACUCUCUAAAUAGUAGAUGUAGACGUCCUGGUCUGUAAAUCUGCUUUUUAUAGACUUUGAGUAACGAUUUACCCCAAAUACCUGUUGAUGAUGGUUCUCAGUCAUCUAGGGCGCAGUAACUCUAAGUGCAACAUCGUAGGCAACCGGACUCCUUUCGGUUUCUUGAAGACGUCAGAAAUACCGACUUUAAUGGUCUCGUCUGUGAGACAAUACUGAAUUUUUUGAGUCUCAGGCCCGACUGACGCUUUGGGGAUGUAGGUCGGAUCGGUCGUCAUCUCAACGCAUCAGUAUUCGACAAGUGUGGACCGGAGUCUUACAAACUGGAUCUUUACGUCUGUGUUGUGUGUUCUGUCAUCAUCUCCUCACCUCCAUACUGAUGGAAAGUCAGGAAAGUCUACAAAACAUUUCUGGAGCUUCACAGCAAAACUGAGUUGCAGCGUUUUCCUAAACAACUGAAGCAGAUGGAGACAGACAGCCAUAAGAUUUGGGACCUGUAGGCUUCUUCAUACUUAGACGAGCUGUAUGGAGCCAUUUCUUGGGGUUUUCUCAUCAUUUUAAUGUGUUUUAUAAACAAGUCUCCAUUUACUUUCAUUGUUUAGGAGAACGCUGCGACUCUGUUUUGCUGUGAAGCUCCGAUAAUAUUUUGUGGAUCAAGAAACUUGACCUGAUUUUCCAUCAGCAUGGAGUGGUAAUAUGAUUGCCUGACUUAUCCUGCAGCUACAGUUUGCUGCGUGUGGAAGAUUAUAAGUCAAACAGAUCAUCGACGGUCAAACCCCCUCAGACCAUCUGACAGAUUUGGCCCAACUGGCCCUGAAUGACAAUGAGCUCUUAGUCAAUGUUAUGUGGGGUUAGAUGUCGCUUGUUAUACAAUGUGAAAUAAAGUUGUAAAUAAAUAAAUAAAUAAAUAAAUGACUCAUCGCUGAAGUUUCUGAAGAUCAACUG